rnacentral:tRNA from 10 species
CCUUAGCUCAGUUGGUAGAGCAACGGACUGAAAAUCCGUGUGUCCCUGGUUCGAUUCCUGGAG